GCGGGCGUCGCCAAGUGGUAAGGCAUCAGCCUUCCAAGCUGACAUUCGCCAGUUCGAAUCUGGUCGCCCGCU
rnacentral:tRNA from 1 species